CCAUUAUUUUGGGAAUAACCCCUCUUAAAAGCUCUUAAAGCUUUGUUUUAAGAGCCUUUAGGAGGGGUUCUUCUCAAAAUAAUAG
rnacentral:pre_miRNA from 1 species